GCCUUUGUGGUGUAAUGGUCAGCACACUCAGCACGUAUUCGAGAGGUCUGCAGUUCGAGUCCUGGCGAGGGCA
rnacentral:tRNA from 1 species